GACGAACGCUGGCGGCGUGCUUAACACAUGCAAGUCGAACGAAGAGCGAUGGAAGCUUGCUUCUAUCAAUCUUAGUGGCGAACGGGUGAGUAACGCGUAAUCAACCUGCCCUUCAGAGGGGGACAACAGUUGGAAACGACUGCUAAUACCGCAUACGAUCCAAUCUCGGCAUCGGGACUGGUUGAAAGGUGGCCUCUAUUUAUAAGCUAUCACUGAAGGAGGGGAUUGCGUCUGAUUAGCUAGUUGGAGGGGUAACGGCCCACCAAGGCGAUGAUCAGUAGCCGGUCUGAGAGGAUGAACGGCCACAUUGGGACUGAGACACGGCCCAGACUCCUACGGGAGGCAGCAGUGGGGAAUCUUCCGCAAUGGACGAAAGUCUGACGGAGCAACGCCGCGUGAGUGAUGACGGCCUUCGGGUUGUAAAGCUCUGUUAAUCGGGACGAAUGGUUCUUGUGCGAAUAGGGCGAGGAUUUGACGGUACCGGAAUAGAAAGCCACGGCUAACUACGUG
rnacentral:rRNA from 1 species